GAUGAACGCUGGCGGCGUGCCUAAUACAUGCAAGUCGAGCGAACAGACGAGGAGCUUGCUCCUCUGACGUUAGCGGCGGACGGGUGAGUAACACGUGGAUAACCUACCUAUAAGACUGGGAUAACUUCGGGAAACCGGAGCUAAUACCGGAUAAUAUAUUGAACCGCAUGGUUCAAUAGUGAAAGACGGUUUUGCUGUCACUUAUAGAUGGAUCCGCGCCGCAUUAGCUAGUUGGUAAGGUAACGGCUUACCAAGGCAACGAUGCGUAGCCGAACUGAGAGGGUGAUCGGCCACCCUGGAACUGAGACGCGGUCCAGACUCCUACGGGAGGCAGCAGUAGGGAAUCUUCCGCAAUGGGCGAAAGCCUGACGGAGCAACGCCGCGUGAGUGAUGAAGGUCUUCGGAUCGUAAAGCUCUGUUAUUAGGGAAGAACAAAUGUGUAAGUAACUAUGCACGUCUUGACGGUACCUAAUCAGAAAGCCACGGCUAACUACGUG
rnacentral:rRNA from 1 species